UGUCUUUUCCAGAGACUUGCCUGGUGUGUUGUAACUAACCUCUGUUAGACUCUUUUGUAAUAUUAGCAUUGUGCAGAAGUUCUCUGCUUCUUAUCAUGAAAGAUCAUUUUCAAAUGAAGUUCAUUUAUCGUGCCUACACGUGCCUUUCUAAACAUUAUGUUUCAAGCGGAACCACGAAAGAGGUGGAUAUGAGAGUCACAGAGUGUGUGCUUUUUGUUUACAGUGAACCUCCAGAGACAAGGAAACUGUUCCGGUUUAAAACCGAAAGGUGGCUGGAAGGGCCAGAGGCUCGGGAACUGGCGUUUGGCUUGCAGGCGUGUGUCUGUGCACUCACUACAUGCAUGUCUGGUGCCCAAGGAAGCAGGAAGAGGUUGCUCGAUCUCCUGGAACUGGAGUUACAGACUGUUAUGUCCUGCUAUGUGGGUGCAGGGAAUUGAAACCAAGUCAUCUGAAAAAGCAGCCACUGCUUUUAAGUACUGAGCCAUGUCUCUAUCCCCUCAGAACCCAAUGUGGUAGGUCGCACAUCACCAUCUGCAACUGAGUUUCAGAAGAUCCAGCACCCUGUUCUGGCCUCCACCAGGUUCUUCUACAAUAGGGUGUUGGAAAGAGAAGUCUGUAUUUAAGGUUCGAUUUCUAAGAUGAGAGAACUUUUUUUGUGGCUGCUCUAUGACGCAGCUAUCAGAUGUGGGUGCUGGGAACUGAGUUCAGGUCCUCUCCAAGUGCUGUCAACCAGGUUUCCAGGCCUGGCUGCCAAGCCUGCUUAAUUGAAAGCAUGAGGAUAAAUGUCACAGCUCUUGAUGACUGAGUCACAGAACCAGCCCUGGAUACCCUAGUUGUGUGAUAACUACCUCUGCUCUUGAAUCAUUUUCUAUUAGUUGCUCUUCUUUAUAGCAGAAACUAUCUCAAUUAAAACAGUGACCAAGCCGGGCCUGGUGGUGCAGGCCUUUAAUCCCAGCACUCAGGAGGCAGAGGCAGGCGGAUUUCUGAGUUCGAAGCCAGCCUGGUCUACAAAGUGAGUUCCAGGACAGUCAGGGCUAUACAGAGAAACGCUGUCUCGAAACCUCCUCCCCCCCAAA
rnacentral:lncRNA from 1 species